rnacentral:rRNA from 1 species
GACGAACGCUGGCGGCGUGCUUAACACAUGCAAGUCGAACGAGAACGGAUUAUAGCUUGCUAUAAUUGUCAGCUAAGUGGCGCACGGGUGAGUAAUGUAUAGGUAAUAUGCCUCUUACUAAGGGAUAACAAAUGGAAACGUUUGCUAAUACCUUAUACUCCUUAUUAACAGAAGUUAAUAAGGGAAAGAUUUAUUGGUAAGAGAUUAGCCUGUAUUGUAUCAGUUAGUUGGUGGGGUAAUGGCUUACCAAGACUAUGACACAUAACUGGUUUGGGAGGAUGAUCAGUCACACUGGAACCGAGACACGGCCCAGACUCCUACGGGAGGAAGCAGUGGGGAAUAUUGCACAAUGGACGAAAGUCUGAUGCAGCAACGCCGCGUGGAGGAUGACACAUUUCGGUGCGUAAACUCCUUUUAUAUGAGAAGAUAAUGACGGUAUUAUAUGAAUAAGCACCGGCUAACUCCGUGCCAGCAGCCGCCGUAA